GUCACUGAAAGACUUUUCUGGCCAACCAAGCAUGAGCCUUACAGAUUGAGAAAGAUAAGGGGACAAGUUCUCAGUAGGUGAAUACUGGUGUUCAGAAGAGAUAUUCAGAGAUAUCAGC
rnacentral:lncRNA from 1 species